ACGGAAGGCAGCAGUGAGGAAUAUUGGUCAAUGGACGGAAGUCUGAACCAGCCAUGCCGCGUGAAGGAAUAAGGCCCUAUGGGUCGUAAACUUCUUUUGUGGUGGAGCAAUAAGGUGCACGUGUGCAUCGAUGAGAGUACAUCACGAAUAAGCAUCGGCUAACUCCGUGCCAGCAGCCGCGGUAAUACGGAGGAUGCGAGCGUUAUCCGGAUUUAUUGGGUUUAAAGGGUGCGUAGGCUGUUCUUCAAGUCAGAGGUGAAAUACCGGGGCUCAACCCUGGAACUGCCUUUGAUACUGGAGGGCUUGAAUACUGUUGCCAUGGGAGGAAUGAGUAGUGUAGCGGUGAAAUGCAUAGAUAUUACUCAGAACACCGAUUGCGAAGGCAUCUCACGAAGCAGCGAUUGACGCUGAGGCACGAAAGCGUGGGGAUCAAACAGGAUUAGAUACCCUGGUA
rnacentral:rRNA from 1 species